rnacentral:lncRNA from 1 species
CGCCCCUCUUGCGCUGGAGCUGCCGCAGCGCCCCUGCCGGCGGAGCUGGCGCAGACCGAGGGACCCACCGCGCAGUGCUCAGAACCUGGGCUUUGGUUUUGACUGUUUACCCUUGAGCUGAAAUGCGGCAGUCAAGCUCCAUGUCUAUUGGUAGCGAGUGAUUCCUUGUUAAAGACAGGAGAAAGGAUUUCUCUAUGAUAAAUACAGGACUUACUGAAAAUUGAACUAGUCAAAGCCGGGUGUGGCAGUGCGCACCUGCAAUCCCACCACUCCAGGAGGCUGAGGCAGGAGGACCACAAGCGUGAAGCCCGGCUUUCAUUGGGAAACUUCGCGACUUACUGAGACCCGCUCUCGGAUUUCUUUAAAAAGGCAAAAGGGUGGGGGAUGUAGCUCAGUGCAAAGGGUCUGGGUUCAAACCCGCUACCAAAGCAAGAGACUUCAUCUUCCCAGGAAGAGGGAGACAAACUUCAUCUUGCAUCUCUGCCAAGUGUUAGGUCAUCUCGGUGCUCAGCGAGGCUGUGGCGCCGGAGUCGGGUUGCUGGGUCUCCCUGGAGAAUCUUCCGGGCCCGGGUCGGCGCAGGCUAACUGGGAAGCCAGCCCCGCGGCCCCGAGGCCACCACCACCCUGCUGUGGACACGGGACUGUUCAGCUCAGCGGAGUGGGAUCUCGCAGGAGCAUUCGGGAGCCAUGGGCGGGCUAACUGGAAGUACAGUGGACCCUUGACUUAGGGACGUGAUCAGUUCCGGAGGGCUGGUUGUAACUCAAGUUGGUGCUCAGCCACUCUUUCAGGAAACAGUUGCGGAGCACUGACUGCCGGCCCGGUCCGGCUCCGGAGGCUGGAGAUGUAAGAAGAAGCAGCAGAGCGGAUUUUCUGUCCCUCAGUUCCCAGGACAGUGUGGCACAGUGGCUGAUGCUGGUGCCGAAGUCAGAGGAUCAGAGCUUCAGGCUGGGACAUAUCUGGAUCCUGCUGCAGCAAAUAUUCACAGUAUUUCUACAGACAGCCAGGACAGAGCUUUGAACAGGCGGUUCACCGAAUCCAGCAGUGUGCUGGUCCUGGCUUACCAACCAGCUGCUUGGGAAAGAGCAGAAGUCCUCAGUUACAGUUUUGGAGAGUUCAUGGUGGAAGGGCAAGACCCGUCUCUGGCGCUUCAGCAUGGGCGGAAGCAGAGGCCUUCGUUCUCUUAUCCCACUCCAGCGAGACUUCCCCCCGGACCUCAUCUGAGUCCAUCCUGCCUCGGUCAUCUGGGCUUCAGAACCUGGUGAGGAGAACAUGCAGGAGGCACCACCAAGUGGCAGAGGCAGGCGGCUUGCAAGACACACGGCUUUCAUCCUGAGAACAACGGAACUACUGAAGGAACUUAGCGAAGAAGGGAUGGGCAGGGGUGACAGUGGGACUUAUCCAUGUGGCUUUUGGCUUAGAGACGCAGGACAGGUGGCAGCUCUGUCCUGAAAUGGGAGCAGGAGACGCAGACUAAGCUGCAAUUGGGAGUAGGCACUGAGGGGAGGGCCGAGGCUCAGGGGUUUGGAUUCAACUCCUCAGUGUAAAGUUGACAACCGGUGAGGUUGUACAGGAGACAGGGACACAGAGGAGCUCAGACUGUGAAAGGACAGGCAGAGAAAAGCCCUGGCCCGCCCCCAAAAUGGUCAGAGAGGUAGCUGGAAAAUCAGAAAUAGACGACAUAUUAAAACUUGUAGCAGGCUGGGGAUGUAGCCUGGUGGUAAAGCAUGCAUGAAGCCCUGGAUUACACACACACACACACACACACACACACACACAUAACUUGCUCACUGCUCCCACACAUGCUCAUUGCUUGGGUCCUGUUAUUAGAAAUAAGUUUACUUAUGACAAAAUGUGAC